UACGGUGGGAGCAAGCGUUGUUCGGAUUUACUGGGCGUAAAGGGCGCGUAGGCGGUCAUCCAAGUCGAGUGUGAAAUCUCCGGGCUCAACCCGGAGCGGCCAAGCGAUACUGGGCGACUGGAGUGCGGAAGGGGCAACCGGAAUUCUCGGUGUAGCGGUGAAAUGCGUAGAUAUCGAGAGGAACACCUGCGGCGAAGGCGGGUUGCUGGGCCGACACUGACGCUGAGGCGCGAAAGCCAGGGGAGCGAACGGG
rnacentral:rRNA from 1 species